CUGAAUCCGCCCUGUGUCGGCUGGCGUGGCUGUAGACCGACGUGACUGGCGUCUCCAGGUGUCUGCGUAAUCCGGUUGCCCCGCGGUUGUACGCGUAGCUUACGCUUCCCCUGGCGGCCGAGUCGAAGUGUGCCGCACUGCACUGUGGGUUAACGCAGCUUUGUUUUGUUGAGGAGAGGACCUGUGGGGCCGAUGGUGGUGUCCCGUCACUGAUCCUUUACUGUACAGCACUUGGGUGUGAUUUGGAUGGUGUGUGGUAUUCACGUGUGUUGUGUAGCAUCAGGACCCUUCCUCCUCCAUUAAUUCCCUGAGCUGUGGUCCCCUCAGCUGCCCCCCACAUUAAAGCACCUACAGCAUCUUGUAUAUUGGUACUGUAGUUGACCAAAGUGAUAUCGAUUACAGGGCUAACCAUAUUUUAA